CUGGACUCAAAUAUGCUCACCAUCAUGAUGCUGGGCAUCCCCAGUCACCUGGAAGGAAUACAUGGGUUGAAGUGUGUUCUAGCCCAUUGCUCUCUUCAAAAUUUCU